rnacentral:rRNA from 1 species
UCAGAGAUGAGCUUGUGCCUUCGGGAACUUAGAGACAGGUGCUGCAUGGCUGUCGUCAGCUCGUGUUGUGAAAUGUUGGGUUAAGUCCCGCAACGAGCGCAACCCUUAUCCUUUGUUGCCAGCGAUUUGGUCGGGAACUCAAAGGAGACUGCCAGUGAUAAACUGGAGGAAGGUGGGGAUGACGUCAAGUCAUCAUGGCCCUUACGAGUAGGGCUACACACGUGCUACAAUGGCGUAUACAGAGGGAAGCGAA